rnacentral:RNase_P_RNA from 1 species
CCAGCCGGCCGGGCGGCCGCGCGCGCAAUCGUCGAAAGGCGGCGUGCGAGGAAAGUCCGGGCUCCACGGAAACACGGCGCCGGACAAGGUCCGGCGGGGGUAACCCCAGGGACAGCGCCACAGAGAACGAACCGCCCGGACAUGUCCGGGCAAGGGUGAAAAGGUGGGGCAAGAGCCCACCGCGCCUCCGGCAACGGCAGGCGGCAUGGCAAGCCCCGCCGGGAGCAAGACCGAAUAGGGACGACGCGACGGUUCGCCGUCAGGGCGUUUCCGCCCCAGUCGUCCGGGUGGGUUGCUCGAGACGCCUGGCGACAGGCAUCCCAGAGGAAUGGCCGCCGCGUCGGCGUCGCAGGACGCCGGCCCUCCAGAACCCGGCUUACAGGCCGGCUGGCGCU